rnacentral:rRNA from 1 species
GACGAACGCUGGCGGCGUGCUUAACACAUGCAAGUCGAACGGAAAGGCCCUGCUUUUGUGGGGUGCUCGAGUGGCGAACGGGUGAGUAACACGUGAGUAACCUGCCCUUGACUUUGGGAUAACUUCAGGAAACUGGGGCUAAUACCGGAUAGGAGCUCCUGCUGCAUGGUGGGGGUUGGAAAGUUUCGGCGGUUGGGGAUGGACUCGCGGCUUAUCAGCUUGUUGGGGGGGUAGUGGCUUACAAAGGCUUUGACGGGUAGCCGGCCUGAGAGGGUGAACGGCCACAUUGGGACUGAGAUAGGGACCAGACGCGUACGGGCGGCAGUAGUGGGGAAUAUUGCGCAACGGGCGGAAGCGUGAUGCAACAAUCCUGCGUGCGGGAAGCCGGCCUACGGGUUAUAAACCGCUGUCGCCGGUGACGAAGCGUGAGUGACGGUAACGGAUAAAGAAGCACCGGCUAACUACGUG